rnacentral:rRNA from 1 species
UACGUAGGUGGCAAGCGUUGUCCGGAAUUAUUGGGCGUAAAGCGCGCGCAGGCGGUCCCUUAAGUCUGAUGUGAAAGCCCACGGCUCAACCGUGGAGGGUCAUUGGAAACUGGGGGACUUGAGUACAGAAGAGGAAAGUGGAAUUCCACGUGUAGCGGUGAAAUGCGUAGAGAUGUGGAGGAACACCAGUGGCGAAGGCGACUUUCUGGUCUGUAACUGACGCUGAGGCGCGAAAGCGUGGGGAGCAAACAGG